CACCCAAUCACUGUUUUGUGGGAUGAAUGAAUGAGUGAGUGAGAGAUGACCAGGAAUGACUGCAUGCCGGCAGCUGGAGAAGGAGCCUCAGUGGCCUGUGCCUUUGGAAGUUCUACCCAACGGCCCAGGAUUACUCAGCCUGCUUUGCUGCCAAGAUUAUCUGGAGCUGACACCGAGACCUGUGAUGGACUUGCAAAUGGCCCCGAGGCUUCCAGACUCCAGGCAGUGAGGCAGUGUGGAGGGCAUAGGCCCCCUUCCUCCCACUGCACAUGCAAGUGAGUGAGUGCUGAGAACUAGAGCAAUGGGCACCGAUUAGACCGCUUCCAGCCAGGCAUGACCGGACCUGUCUCAGGAGGUGCUGCUGACGGGCGCGUGGAUCACGAGUGGUACCGGUUUUGCUAAGGCCUCCCCCUCUUUCCUGUGAGCUUCUGCAAGGUCUGCAGCAAAUACCUCACAAGCGUUGGGGAAAAAGGAUGUAUGUUCCCUGCCUCUGAAGAAACAGGUACAAUCUUGCAUAAAAUUGCUUGUUAACAUUGAUCUGUGCGUGGAAUCAGUUUGUGUUGCAGGGAAAUGAAGCGUCCUACACGCCUGUGAUCAAAAUGAAUUUCAUCAUCUCAACCUUCUUUUUUUUUUUUAAUGAUAGCAAGACAGUGUCUGGCAGACAAAGGAACUGGUUGGGAGCUGAAAAUAGGUAAUGGUAGCAGCAGGGAUUUUUAAUUGGCUGGAAGAGACGGCGAAGAUCUGGAAGGUGAAGCCCUAGCUCGUGCUCCUGGCUGAGACUAAGCCCAGGUUUCAGGAUUAGGAAGGAAAUCUAAACCACCUAUUGCCACGGAAUGUAGAAACCCUGGCUUUAUUUGGCAGUUGUUGGCUUCUACAAUUCAAUUAAAAAUAUCCCCAUCCUCCAGAGAGUUAUUUUAUUCGUCAGAAUUCAUAACAUGCUCAACAAAGGUCAAGGCGUUUUGGCAAAGUGCGAUGCGGCUAAGAAAAUAGAAGAGAAGGAAGCUGAUGCAGGAUCUGCCAGUGUUCCUGGUGAUGUCAUGAGGACGAAGAAACUCUCUUUUGAGGGGGCCUGGGUAGGGCUGGCUGCCACUCACACCUUGAGACUCAGGUACCCAAAGAACUAAGUUCAAACUACCCUUACAAUUUAGAAGCCCUGAGCUGAUUUUUCUUUUGCUGGGCUCGGCAGCAUCCCUGUUUGCUGGUGGGUCUCAAACUGAGUGAUGCAUUGGAAUUGCGUGGCGGGUUUAUUAGUGCACGGAUUGCUGGGCCCCGAGCCGCAGAGUCUGAUUCAGUGGGCCUGGAGCGGGAACUGAGAGUUUGCAUUGCUAACAAGCUUCCAGGUGAAGCUGACGCUGCUGGUCCAGGGACCACCUUUUGGAAGCACUGCUCUAUGCCAAUAACAGUGGGUGGAUUAAGAAAAGGCCGUGGAGCUGUUACUUCAAGUCAUGGAGCCUCUUGGUGGCUCAUUUCCUCACCUUGAGAAUGGAGACAACACUGAGAACAUCUACUGGGCAGGGGUGUUAUGAGUGUUAAAGGAGGCAGUGGGUGUGAAGUUCCUGGUAUACAACAGGGCUUAAUACAUGAUCAUUUUCAUUAGGUGUGGGCUGACCCGCCUGUCAGUGGACAGGACCCCUCCCUGCCCCACCGACUAAUUCUGCCUGGAAUUGUAUCAUUAGACAGCCAUCCGUCGGCCCUUUAAGAUAUACAUGCACCAGAGAGAGGAAGCUAAAUCUGGCUCAGACCUCUUGAGACUUACGAAUCAGUUUCUCAGCUGUGCUUUCUUCCCAAAUUGAGAGGAUCGGGGCAUAGCAAAUAACGCCAAGGUAAGAGGUGGGAGAGUACCUGAUUUUGUUCAAUUUCUCUGCCGCUGGCCAGGAGACUAGUCAUUUCUUUUCCCCAGGGCCUCAGUUUCUGCCAGGGUAAAAUGAGAGGGCUGGACCAGCUGAUUGUCUAAGGGGUCUUCAGUGUCAUGAUUCAUGAUGGGGGACUGACAAGGACUGUGAGAGCAACCGGACCACAGGGGUCCUGGAAUGACGCACGGAGGCUGGAUGGUGCAGGGUUAAGGGCUCAGGUGAUGAGUCAUUGUGCCUGGCUUCAGACCUCAGCCACUGAUCAGCUCUGUGACUGUGGGCAAGCUCCCCAACCUCUCUGUUCCUCAGUGCCUUCAUUGGGUACAGAUUAGCAGCACGUCCCUCCCGGAGUCGCUGUGAAGAUGGAACGAGGUUUUGCAUGUAAGCCUCUCAGAACAGCACCUGUGGCACACAGCACAUGCUGAUCUGUGUGAGCUGGCAUAAUAUUUCACGGCCUGCUUGGUCACAAACGGCCCUCCUGGAGAUAUGACAGCCCUGCCCUGGAGACAGUGACACCCCGGAAGACCCUUCUAGAAGGCCCACGUCCGAGUGGCCUGUUGCAGCCACAGCUAUCACACAGAGGAGACUGACUCCUCCAGAGCAAAGGCCUGAGUAGUCAGGGGAGGACUGGGUGGCAGAUGAGGACACCGAGGCCCAGAGAGGUGUCCUGCCAAAGCCACACAGCACAGAGGAGCAGAGCCCGGGUCCAGCUAUUUCUCCUAUCUCACCACGCUGCCUCUUCUCACUGGAAGAGUGUACCAACGCGGGAGUCUGGCCCCUACCCAUCCCAAGCCUGAUCCCUACCUAAGGUCCACAGAGCGUCUCCACCAGCAGCUCCAGGAGGGAUGAUAAAUUGUCAAAAGCCACCAAGAGUCAGGGACAGGAACUCAGUUCUGCCCAGCUGAGGGCUGUGCAGGGAUUUCAAGGUACCUGUGCGAACCCCAGCCCUCACUCAUUGAACUCAGUCAGAAAACCACCGCGUCAGUGGAUUUAGAAAUGUGACAGGGAUUUCAGAGGGCAAUGGGUCCAGCCCUCACAACCCAGCACCACUCUGCAGGCAUGGAAACGCAGGCCCAGAGGACAGGGGCUUCUCAAUAUGGGCACACAGCACCAAGACAGCUCCAUAAAUAGAAGUGAAAUAUCCAAGCUCCCACUCCAGGGAAGCUGACCACUGGGUGGAUGACUCCCCCAGCGUCCAAACCCUCUCUGGCAGUCCCUUGCUGCUCCAGGAGCGAGGAUGAAAGGGAGAGCUCUUCCCAGGGCCUCCGGGGAGACACUUCUGCUGACUGUCCCCAAGGAGAAAGAGGGGAGAGAAAUGAGGGAGGGUCCCUGAAGAAUGGAGACCUUCAAGAAGGAGGCCAACCUCGGGGACCAGUGGAAGCCAGAAAGAGCACGGGGGCAUGGCAGGGGCUGAAGCCGAUGUCCCAGGGAAGGAGUAGCUGCAAGGCCCCUCAGCCUCAGAGGAGCGCCAGCCCCGCCCUGCCAUUCUGGACAAGGCAUGAGUGUGAAGAGACUCUUGCCUGUCCACACUAUCAAGGCUGAGCGGGGGCAAAGGCAGCCCCCUGGGGGUCCCCACCCUGCUACUGGACUUUAAAACCAUUUUCUUUGGUUUUAAAGAAACAAUUUUUCUUUGGUCAUGAUUUUGUUGGUAGAUUUAUCUUUAUGGAAUUGUAGUAUUUUCUUGCUCUAAAACCCUCAGUUUAACCCCUUCUUUUUUCUGUCUCACAUUUUUGCCUCCAGCGAUAUGAAAAUGAACCUUGGAGAAUGGGAGGGUCCUGGGGGAGGGGGGCUGAGGGGCUCUUCACCAGGCAGAGAUGAACCCCAGUGCUGACACAAGCCCUUUCCUUUUCCUGGUUUCUCUUGCCCUGGAGAGUGACAGGCAGAAAGGGCUUUUUGUCUCUUUGGACCAUUUCUGUAUCCCUGCUGCCUCAAACGAAGCCUGGCCUGGGGCGAACUCAAUCAAUGACUCUGACGGGAGACAGGGCUCCGGCCCACUGGGGUGAUGGGCUAAAGAGGGGAUUCUGGUUCCUGUGGACAAUCUGGAAGCUGGAAGCUGUUAGAACUGGAGCGAGGAUUUCACCAAGGAGCUCACAGAGAGAGCCCGGGCAGGAACUCUCCAAUCAUCUGGCGGCUGAGGCCCUUUCGCUGGAGGAGGAAAUGGGCCACACCGAUGGGGGUGUCCGGGAUGAAGCCGCGUGAGAUCAGGAACUGGAUGCCCUUGUCGGGGUUUCUGGAGGUGGGGGUGGGGAGAAGCAGUAGAGAGUGAGCUGAAGCCAUCCAUGACUCUUUCCUCCCUGUCUUCCACCCAUAGAAGUACCCAGAGGUUCUUGGAAAUCCAGUUCCCCAUUGAAGCUUCUCUCACCAGAGCCUCAACCCACUGAAUGUCCUCACGCAGAGGAUGGUGUGUGACCAGAAGGAGGACAGGGGAGAUCUGCAAACAAAGUCCCCACCGCAGACGCCCCAACCCUGGAGAGAGGGUGGGAGAAACAGAGGUGAGACCUCCGCCACACCACCUCUUCCCUUUGCAAGCUUUGAAGCCAUGCUGCUCCCUGAGCUGUUCCUCACAGGUCCGGGAGGAGAUAAGUACAGAAACACAAGGUCUGCCGAGUACUAGCUAUUUCAUCGUGUGCAUUUCGCCUUACUGGUGUGAGCCGGCUUCUUUUCUGUAAAACAGCAUGGUAAUACCUCUGUGUAGAUACUGCUGGAAGAUUACAGAUGCUUUAUGUAAGGGAGCACAUGGUCUUGAGGCUCCACGUGCUGAGCGCGUCGUCGAUGGACUUGGCCAGGGAUUGCACCUGCUCGGUGAAGGAGUCCUCCAGCUCGGCUCUCGGCCGUGGGUGACCGCACCUUGCGCAGGGAGAUCCGCCGUGGCAGGCGGCUCUCCAGAAGCGAGUUGCGGAUUUUCUCGAAGUUCUUGCUGAGCUGGUAUUGGCGGAAGGCGGUUUGGAUGGUGCAAGCGGCGCGCCGGGACACCAGUUCAUGUCAGAGAUGCAUACAGAAGUACUUAUGGGUAAAAUGCAUGAUAUCUUGAAGUUGUGUUAAAAUAUUCUGUCAAAAAAUGUGGAAGAGUUAGAUGACACAAUAUUAAUGUUAAUAAAUAUUAAUAAAAUGGUUACAGCUGGAUGAUAGCUACGGGGGAGUUUAUAACACUGUCGUUUCUACUUUUGUGCACACUUUAAAACAAUAAACAAUGAAAAACAGAAAUGCUAAAAAACCUCACAGCUCCUCGUGCUUCCCCGCUCCUCCCCUAAACAAUGAAAAACAUAAAUGCUAAAAACCCUCACAGCUCCUCGUGCUUCCCUGCUCCUCCCCAGCAACCAUGUCUCUGUGUUGGGGUGGCUCCUUUCCCUGGGAACAUCAGAAGGGUCGGGAUUGGGGUUGGACCAUCUGUGUGUUCCCAGUACAUAGUUAGCUGCUCAGUAAACGUGGAU
rnacentral:lncRNA from 1 species